GACGAACGCUGGCGGCAGGCUUAACACAUGCAAGUCGAGCGCCCCGCAAGGGGAGCGGCAGACGGGUGAGUAACGCGUGGGAAUCUACCCAUCUCUACGGAAUAACGCAUGGAAACGUGUGCUAAUACCGUAUACGUCCUUCGGGAGAAAGAUUUAUCGGAGAUGGAUGAGCCCGCGUUGGAUUAGCUAGUUGGUGGGGUAAAGGCCUACCAAGGCGACGAUCCAUAGCUGGUCUGAGAGGAUGAUCAGCCACACUGGGACUGAGACACGGCCCAGACUCCUACGGGAGGCAGCAGUGGGGAAUAUUGGACAAUGGGCGCAAGCCUGAUCCAGCCAUGCCGCGUGAGUGAUGAAGGCCCUAGGGUUGUAAAGCUCUUUCACCGGUGAAGAUAAUGACGGUAACCGGAGAAGAAGCCCCGGCUGACUUCGUGCCAGCAGCCGCAGUAAGAC
rnacentral:rRNA from 1 species